rnacentral:siRNA from 1 species
UAACCAAUAAGGCCGUGCCUCA